rnacentral:rRNA from 1 species
AUUGAACGCUGGCGGCAGGCCUAACACAUGCAAGUCGAACGAGGGGCGGACGGGUGAGUAAUGUCUGGGAAACUGCCUGAGGGAGGGGGAGAACUACUGAAAACGGUAGCUAAUACCGUAUACCAGCGGAUGUGACCAGAUGGGAUUAGCUAGUGGGUGGGGGAAAGGCUCCCCAAGGCGACGAUCCCUAGCUGGUCUGAGAGGAUGACCAGCCACACUGGAACUGAGACACGGUCCAGACGCCUACGGGAGGCAGCAGUGGGGAAUAUUGCACAAUGGGCGCAAGCCUGAUGCAGCCAUGCCGCGUGUAUGAAGAAGGCCUUCGGGUUGUAAAGUACUUUCAGCGGGGAGGCGUUACCCGCAGAAGAAGCACCGGCUAACUCCGUGCCAGCAGCCGCGGUAAUAC